CUGACCUUUCUGGAGUCCGCCAUUCCUGCCAUUCAGGUCCAGGUUUUGGUCCGGUACUUAGGAUCCCUGGUUGUUCUGCGGCGCAGGUGCUGAAGGUCCCCAGGGAGCAUGUCUGACUGCUGAGCACCAGGAAAUGGUUUCUUGUCUUUAUUUUUGGAGGUUAUUUCAGAUGGAACUUUAGGGCUUUUCUUUGGAAAUUCUAACAAGAAAUAGAAAUAAGGCAAAUCUCUCUUUCCUAUGACUGCAGAAAAAUGAAUAUAUUUUCUCAAAAACACCUGGUACUGAAAGAUCUACUGAGAGAACACUGGGCACCUCAAAAACCAUUAAGUGAUGCUGAGUCUGGCCUUGAACUUGUUCUUCAGUUUCCUGAGUUUCUGGAAUUACAGGAACCAUUAACAUUUAGGGAUGUGGCCAUUGAUUUCUCUGAAGAGGAAUGGAAAUACCUGAAUCCUUCUCAGCAGAAUUUAUAUAGAGAUGUGAUGUUAGAGAUUUAUAGAAGCCUGGUCUUUCUGGGAAUGUCUCCUCAUCAAAUGCUAGAAAUUUCAGCAGAGCAAGGAAUAAACUAUUUAUGGCAAACCAUGAUAAAUGGAAGUCCUAGAAAACAUCAGUGCGACCAUUUUAAAAAGAAGGUUUAUGAACACAAUAAAAGUGAGAAAGUUUUUCAUAAAGUCUCAAAAUGUAUCCAUCCAAACUUUCAUAUCCAAGAAAAGAAUUAUCAAUGUAAGGAAUGUGAAAGAGCUUUAAAUAAAAUUGAAAGCAUUACUGUACACCAGAGAAUUCAUACUGGAGAGAAGCCCUACAAGGUUAAAAAGUAUUUCAAAGCAUUUAAGGAUUCCUCAACCCUUUAUCAUAACAGUGAUAUACCCUACAUAAGUAAAGAAUGUGACAAAGGUUUUACUCAAACCUCAAUCAUUACUAAACACCAUAGGAUUUUCUGUGGAGAGAGACCAAAGAAAUGUAAGGAAUGUGGCAAACUCUUUAAGUGUCAUUCAAAACUUAUUAAAAACUGCAGUAUUCAUACUGGAGAGAAGCCCUACAAAUGUAAAGAAUGUGGCAAAGCUUUUAAUAGAAGACCACACCUUAUUCAACAACAGAGAAUUCAUACCAGGGAGAGACCAUACAAAUGUAAAGAAUGUGGCAAAGUUUUAAAUCAAAGGUCAAACCUUUUAGUUCACCAGAGAUUUCAUACUGGAGAGAAACCAUACGAAUGUAAAGGAUGUGGUAAAGCUUUUAAUAUUAAACAAAGCCUUAUUGUUCACCAGAGAAUUCAUACUGGAGAGAAGCCCUACAAAUGUAAAGAAUGUGGCAAAGCUUUUAAUCAAAGAACACACCUUUCUCGUCACCAAAGAAUUCAUACUGGAGAGAAGCCAUACAAGUGUGAAGAAUGUAGUAAAGCUUUUAAUCGAAAAUCCUACCUUAUGCAUCACCAAAAAAUUCAUACUGGAGAGAAGCCAUAUGGAUGUAAAGAGUGUGGCAAAGCUUUUAAUCAACCAUCACACCUUACUCGUCACCAGAGAAUUCAUACUGGAGAGAAGCCAUACAAAUGUACAGAAUGUGGCAGAGCUUUUGCUCUCAAGAAAACCCUUAUUGAUCACCAGAGAAUUCAUACUGGAGAGAAGCCAUACAAAUGUAAAGAAUGUGGCCAAGCUUUUAAUCGAACAUCACAACUUACUCAACACCAGAGAAAUCACACUGGAGAGAAGCCAUACACAUGUAAAGAAUGUGGCAAAGCUUUUAAUCGAGGAUCACAUCUUAAUCAACACCAGAGAAUUCAUACUGGAGAGAAGCCACACAAAUGUAAAGAAUGUGGCAAAGCAUUUAAUCAAAGAUCACGUCUUAUACAACACCAGAGAAUUCAUACUAGAGAAGACAUAAGAAUGUAAAGAUUCUUACAUUCCUACAUACUUUGCAAAGUCUUAUAGGUCACCAGAGAAUUUAUACUGGAGGGAACCCAUACAAAUAUAAAAAAUGUGGCAAAACUUUUAGUCAAAUUUCCAGCCUCAAUGUUGACCAGAAAAUUUAUACUGGGGAAGAGCCAUACAAAUGUGAAGAAUGUGGCAGAGUUUCUAAGGCUGCUCCCGAAGCUACACAGAGCCUACAUUUUACUUAAGAAUGCCCAUCUGUAAAUACUAACAAAAGAUAUCCUUUUCAGGCAAAAUUUAGUUUCACGUUCCUGCCUGUAUGUGUUCUCAAACUAAAAAAAAAAAAAAAAAAAAAAAAAGAUUUUUAUCCCUUGCCAGGUUCUCUUAGAAACUCUUAAUAGCUGUUUUAUUAAGAAAAGUUGCAGAGGUAAUGUAGUAAUUAUAAGAGGUUAUAAGGAUUAGUGUUCUCCAAAUUAAAGUUGUACAUUAGUUUUGAACAAUAAAAGUUUUAAGCUUUUUUGUAAAUUAAUUUAUCUUAUAUAAAUUCUCUGACUGGACCUAUAAUUCAUGAAACAUUGUAAGACAUGUAUGUUGCCACCUUAAAUGGGAAACAACCUUAAUCAUAUUAUUUAAAAGACAGUUUAGUGACACCUACUUAAAGGAUAAUAUUCUGAGAUAUAGAGAUAUUUUAAGACAUUCUCUCUGAAAGAGAUUGGGGGGUUCUACUUAAAUUGUUAGGAUGAAUCAGCUAGUUAUCUCAUUUUCAUAUCUAGCCUCAACUACUAUCAUCAAAGAAGGGCUUAAAAAUUGGAAAGAUCAAAGGAACCUCUAAAACUUAAUAUAGACCAAAACAAAUUUAGGGAGUUUUUUUUUUAAAGGUCCAAGUAAAUGUACUGUAGGGUUUCAGAAUGUAUGGCAUAUUAUGCUAUUACUUAGCUAAACUAUGCAAUAGAAGGCCAUCUUAAAAACAGUUUUAAAGGAGAUUUAUCUUAACCAUGUCCCACUAACACAGAAUAGGGACAAGCCUGACAAUUUGGAGCAGACAGUUCCCCAGGACAGAUUGGUAUCUAAAAGAUAAACAAAAUUCCUAAAAUAUAAUUUUAGGGGCUGGGGCUGUAGUUCAAUGGUAGAGUGCCUGCCUCACACAUGUGAGGCACUGGGUUCAAUCUUUGGCACCACAUAAAAAUAAAUAUAUUGUGUCCAACUACAACUAAAAAAAAAAUUAAAGAGUUUUUUUAAAAUCAUAAUUUUAGUAAGUCUUUAGAAAAAUUCUACUAUUUUUCAUAGACUUAUAAAAGACAAUACAGUACCUUAAACUUAUAGGGGGCCACCCAUUUGAAAAGGUGUUUAUCUCCAGUUAGCCCUAGACAUUCCAAGGGAUUUACAAAGGUGAACAUAAUUCUAGCCAAGUUUAGAUGUUACAGCAUAGUUAAAUGCAGCCCAAAUGAAGAAACAGAAAGGCAAACAUACAGACAGCAAGAGAUUAAAAUGCUAGUCAUAGCUCCAAGAGAAAUAAAUUUCCUGGGGAAAAUGUUUGCUCCUAAGUUACAGAUUUUGAAACCCCCUUAACAUUAAAACAGGGUCUUACUUCAAGCACCUGGCAACAGUUUAUUACUGAAAAAGAAAGGAAAAAAAAAAAACUCUGAAAAUAGUUAUGCCUAAAAUAUUAGACAAACAGCCAUAAAUAAAUCAGCUCAACAGUCAAUAGCAUAUUUCAAUAAAAAACUAACAUAAUAGACCUUUUCUAAACUUUAAUAAUAUCUGACAAUGUCCUACAUACAUUGAUAUUUUUAAAUUACUAACACCAUAAUUAGACAUAAUUAUUAGAAUUAAUUUUACUACGUUAAAUAAAGUUAUUAAGGUGCUCAUACAACUGUUUUUUUUUUAAUGCACAAAGAUUGUUUGUAAUAGAUCUCUAAAAAUGUUAUUGCUAGCUCAAUGUCAUAAAUUCUAAAUUAGAUCACUGUCUUAAACCACACUGUUGACUUGUUUUUACCCAUUAACAUUUGAGAUACUAAUUCUCCCUACUUAGGUCAACACUAAGUUGAUAACCAUAAUGCCAGUUUUUCAUGGAUUCAUAGAUAAAUUACUGUUCAUUUCUCUAUUUCAUUCUUUAUUAAUGGUAACAAAAUAUCUUCUCUAGGGUUAUUUAACAUAUGUACCUCCUAUUUUGGAUAGAUGUCUACAUAUUUCUCAUGCUCCUAGUAAAGACCACCACUACUACAUUAAGAUCUCUGUCUCUUGCUUCUUUCCAAAUUAAGAUAAAUAUUUAAGUUAAUCUAGAGCUAAUUUCAGCAUGCAAAUAUUUAUAUACAACUUAUUGUAUUCUUUAUUUUUGGUAAUUCUGUUAAAGUCAAAAUCAAGUCAUACAUUUAGUAAAGGGUAAGUUUCUAUUUACCUUGUUCCCAUUAAAUAACUUUGUCAAGUUUCACAACCAGCUAGAAAUAAUAAAUCUUUUCUUAUUAUUUAAAUACUUGUACUACAUUAAACAUUGCCUGUAUAACUUAAAACUAAUGAUACUAUGGCUUAUGCCAAGUCUCUACUCAAUUUUAUUAAAUAAAAAGAUGGGAAAAGAGAAUUCCAUAGCACAUAAUAGAUGUUACAAAAAUAUUUUUUUAAAUUUUUCUUAAUUGUGAUACUGGGAGUCUUAGUGCUACUGAACGUGAUUAGUAAGUUAAAUCAAAUUUCAAAAGAGUUUUAACUGGUCGUUGUGGAAAGGUUGAAAAACCUCACACAGGAAGAUAAAUUUCCAGCUGCAGAGUUUAUAGCCAUGCAGCUUCAUGGGCUUCUCAGGUAAGUAAAAAUUAUGAACAAACAUCCAUGGACCCAUUUCUCAAGUCCACCCUUAAAGAAAACACACACACACACACACACACACACACACGUUGUAGUUGGACAGAAUACUUUUAUUUAUCUUUAUGUGGUGCUAAGAAUUGAAUCCAGUGUCUUGCACAUGCUAAGCAAGUGCUCUACCGCUGACCCACAAACACAGCCCCUCAGGUACACCUUUGAUGUUCUUUGCAGUGAAUACUGGAAAGUCUACCCAUGCAACUAGAUGAAUUAUACUCACUGAAAUGGUCAGUUAUAGCUAUAUGUUGAUCCUAUGGUAAACAGGCUGUCUGGCAGUAUCUUUUGAGAAAAAGACAGUAUAUGAGAAUCCUAAACAAGCCAAUUAUGCUGAUCCUUACAAAUUAAGACAAUAUAUAUGGAUAAUUGUCAAAAUAGAAAGAUAGUUGAAAUAGAAAUUUUCUAUAUAGGCCAGUUAUUUACAUAAAAUAUUCAACAAUGUAUUAUUGCCUUAAUCAUUCUACAAUAGAAAUUGGCACAUUUUCUAAAUGGAUGGGUUUGGCCUAUGUAUUGUCAACAUAAGGUGUCUAGAAAUGGUCUCCUACAAUAACAUGAAGAUGACAUAACUCUUAGAAACCUGAAGUUUCAGUGAGAUAGCACUCAAAAGGAUGUUUUGAUGUUUGACUUCUGCCUUCAGAAUGUUUACAUUACUGACAGAACUAAAAGACUCCUUAAAUGUGAGAAUUGAAAAGAUGGUUAGAUAUUCUGUAACCUAUAAAAGGUACAGCUUGCCUAAUUUUAUCACUUUAUAGUAGGAUAAAAAGGACAUUGAUCCUCAUCAAUGUCUCUUUGUCCUGUUGCCAGCUAGCAUGCUGAAGUUAAAAUUCAGGCCUUGAAACAGGUGCAUGCCAAUUAACCAGACCUAGGCAAGUUCUUGAUCUCAUGAUCAAUGAAGUGACUAUUUAAAGUAUUAUUCAUUGUUCCUAUACUACAGCUUCUGUGGCUAUGUUUUAAAACUUACAACAUGUAAAUUUUCUUAAUAAUUUGACAUAAAUUACUUCCAAGAACCUUCAUAGUCAGAUAAAUGCUAAUGGAAGGAUUGAAACUAAGUUAAAUGCUCUAGAAGCCACUGUAAUGAGUAAUGCAAAUGAGCCCCCUGCUCCAUGGUUUGUGGAAAGGCUUAAAUGCUAUGCAAAUAAAAAUGUCCGUGUUACUGUGGCCAAACAGAAUGCUUCCAAGUAAAAUUGGGAAAAGAUUAAGAAUCUUCUGAUGAGUUUUUGGCAGAGUAAUCAUAAUAACCUGGAUCUUCCAAAGCUAAUUAAAUGACCUUAAUCCUAAAUAUGCUGAAACAUUCUAUAUAGUAUAUUAUUGAAAUGAUAUGUUUUCUACUAAUUUUUUUUAUGUCUCAAGAGUAGGUCAUGGUCUUCUCAGAACAAGAAUCCAGUGACUAAAACAUAAAUUACCAGUUGCCUUUUUUUUUUUUUUUAAUUUUAAGAAAAGGGAAAUAUGUCAGGAGCUGCCCUGGAUACAAGAUCCCUUUCAGUCCUGAUGCACCAGGUUCUGAACAUAUUGUCUUUAGUCUGCCACAGUAGUUCCAGGUCACAGUAAUUUGGGCAUUACCCUAGCUUGGAAAACGAGGUGUGGCUCCAGAAUUAGGGGUUAUCUGCUGGGGUUGAGUUACACUCAUCUGUUCCUUUAUAAUCUUACCCCUUUGCCCUUUUGGGGAUAGAAUGUUUUGUGGAACCUUCCCUUGUAUAUCUUCUAUAUAAGAAUAAAGAAUUUCAGUUCCUCUCUCUCUUCCCAUGGACCUUUAAGGUCAGAGAGCCAUCACAGAUUUUGAGAUGGUACUUUUGUGUGUUUGUAUGCUUUCUUUGUUGGUUUCUUAAUUUUUUAAUAGUCAGAUUUUGUGAAGCCAGCAUUAGGUCACCAGCUAGGAUAGAUGAUGAUAACAGACAUUUCAGACCUAAGAAGAUAUUCAUUACAGUUCCAAAAUUACAUCUUUGUUGUUAUUUUUUUUAUUUGUCAAGUUGCAAUUUUCUUUUUUCUUGUGAGAUGAUCACAUAGAGAAAGCAAAAUCUUUAGAAACUGCCAUCCAGUUCUUGGAGAAAAGUUAGAAAUACUGCAACCAUUUAAAAUGUAACAUGGGGAAAAAUAGUUGAUAAAACAAAGAGGUGAUUCUGGUAUUGAAAAUAUGAAUAGAGCCAAGUGCAGUGGCCCAUACCUGAAACCCCAUUGUCUUGGGAGGCUGAGGCUGGAGGAUCAUGAGUUCAAAGCCAACCUCAGCAAGGGUGAGGGGCUAAGCAACUCAGUGAGACCCUGCUUCUAAAUGAAAUAUAAAUAAGGCUGGGAAUGUGGCUCAGGGUUUGAGUGCCCAUCAGUUCAAUUUCUAGUACACCCCUCAAAAAAAAAAAAAAAAGUGAAUAUAAACAGAAACCUGGAGAUGUAGGAAUUCAUUCUGAGACUGAAGGGCUGCCAUAUUAAUAUAUUUAUAGAUCCAAUUUGCAACCAAAAAGAUCAAAAGUUGUAUGAAGAAACUGGACAUGUGGUACAUUCAAAGGCUGAAUAAACAAUAAACCAACAGAAUCCAUCUCAGGAAUGGCACUCCCCAAUCAUAAUAUAUUUAUGCUGCAGCCCUGAAACAUGAGAGCAACCACAUGGCUUGUUCUUUAAAGAUGGGGGUGUGGUUUGUAUGUGUUUUUAUGACAGAAUUAAGGCACAUAAGGAUUUUUUUAAAAUGUUCCAGGGCAAUAGUGGUCCAAACAUUUUUUUUUAGUGUCUUUUUACUUUUGAAAGAAAGUGAUGGGCUUUGUUCAAAGAUAAUUCUCUUCAUUUUACAUGUAUGCAAACAUACCAUAGGAGAAUGAAUUUGCUGUUUUGGGUAUGGAAUGUUGGUUCAAGGUGGUUUAUGCUAAUGAAGAGCCUUGGAUAACAUCAACUUUAAGAAAACAUUUUAGUGCAGAGGGAAUUGAGACUUCAGCAAGGGAAGAGCAACACCCAACACAUCAAAGGUUUUGGAGAUCCAAGGAAAAUACUGUGCCUAAAGUCUUCAACCUACAUGGAGAGAGGCCCUUAAAGUCAAUUGUACAGACUUCAAAAGAGAAGUGAUGGAUGGGCCAUUGAGGGGUUUCAUUAAUCAUUCCAUGCUUCAUCCAUGAUGAAUAUUGAUUGCCAACAUCCUGGAUAAUUCUUUUCUGAAAUAUAUCAUCAUGACUUAAAGCUAAAGCCAACUCUAAACUUGUCUCCCCCCCACUUUUUUUUAACCAUGGAUUGAACUCAGGGGUACUUAGCCACUGAACAAAACACCAGACUCUAUUUUGUAUUUUAUUUAAACACAGUGUCUCACUGAGUUUCUUAGGACCUCACUGAGUUGCUGAGCCUGUGUUCAAAUUCAUGAUCCUUCUGCCUCAGCCUCCUGAGUUGUGGGAAUUACAGGUGUGCACCACUGUGCCCAGGAAAUUCAUUGCACUCUAAUGACCAUGUCACAGUCAUUGUGCCCUGUAAUAUAUCACUGCCUCAUUUCCAGAUUGUGCCUGUAGGAUUGGUAAAAGGUCUAGGUUCUGUGUGUGUUCAUAUUGACAUUGGGACAGCUGGGCCCCAAACAUUAUUGUUUAAAAAUACAGAAAAAGAAUGUAGAUCAAAGUGAAAUAAAAUAUGAUGGGAGGAAGCUGAAAUCAGAAUCAUGGAGGGAGUAUGGAAAUGGGACCUCCUCCUCAAGAGGCAAGAGUCUACACAUCUCACUUGAAUAUAGCAGAAAGGCUUGUGUAUUAGCCUGUUGUUUUCUUCUAUGACAAAACCCAGGAGACUGAGUACUUUACAGAAAGAACAUUAUUUCAUAGUUUUGAGCCCUCACAAGUGUGCCACCCACAUGGGCUCAAUUCCUGAGUGGCCCUGUGCUGUCAUAAGGGGGUGACUGGCAUCAUUGUAGAAAUGUGUGUGAGAGAAAUCACAUGGUGAGUUUGGAAGGUAAAGAGUAGACUAGGGGCAGUUCUGUCUUUUAUAACACUCCUUUCAGAAUUAGCCAGGGGCCCGAAAGAAUUAUCUUGAUCAUUUCAAUUGUCAAACACCUCAAAGGCCUGUCACUUCCAACAGGCCUUGCCUCAUAAGGGCCCCAUCACCUCUUAACACUGCAAUACUGGACAUCAGGCUUCCAAUAGAAAAACCUUGGGAGACACACCACAUCCAGUGGGAAGGUAAUGCAUUUCUAUAACAGGGUCAACACUUUCAAAAUUUUAUGAAAAUGGACAUAAAGGCAUAGGCAGCAGUGAACUCAACCCAGAAAAGAAAGAACUAGAAAUUCCUUUGCAGAAAACCUAAACACCAACCUCAGCAUAGACUAAAUUUGCUUCAUACAAGUAUUUCUGAUAAACACAGCAUACUGGUACUCAGGAGAAUGGGAAGUUACUAGAUAAAUGCAGGGGGAGAAAUAAGGUUGUAGGUUUAGACUGCAAACAGGGGACAACAUACCCAGGCAGAAACCAUGGAGAAACUUUCUUGUAACAGAAAGUCUUGUGACAGAGCUUAAUCCCAGCUCUGGGAUUUGAGUGCUUCUUCAAACAUUCCUACUAUUAGAGAUUUCUCUCCCUAUGCAUUUUUUUAUUCCUUUACUCAGGUCACAUAUGACUCCCUGGGCAUCUGGAGCUGCCUAGGGUAAUGCUGAAACAUUCACAUUUUGGGAACAUUCAAGUUGGCACAUAAACUUGGGAAGACUUGACUUUCCUGGAGACAUCAAUUUCGUAGAAAUUGGCUCCACAUGAAAUCCAUAUAAAAAUCUACCUACCCAUGGCUGUAGGUAAAAACAUACCAAAUAGUAAAUACUCAGGGUGAACAAUUCAGAAAUUCUUAUAUAUGAUAUAUUGACUGUGUUAAAGGUACUGAAUUCCAGUUAGGAGUUUUGUUGCAUGAUUAGAUCAUGACUGUUCUUGACAUGGGGGAAUAUAUGUAUCUAUGUGAGAUAAGAGAUAAAUGAGUUUGUUCAAUUCUAGUGACAAUUUCACUCAAUCUUAUGGUAUUGUUUUGUCUACCUUAAAAUGCACAGUAAAAUUUGUUUUCAAAAA